CCAGGAGGGGAAGCGAUGGCUGGGCCCAGGUGGAUCUCCAAGGUCUCUCUGCUGCUGGGGGUAUUCCACAACCCAAAACAGGUGACCAGAGGUUUUACUGAUGUUGUUCAGCCAGUGACUUUAAUUCCAGGAGAUGGUAUUGGCCCAGAAACUUCAGCUGCAGUUAUGAAGAUUUUUGAUGCUGCCUAAGCACCUAUUCAGUGGAAGGAGCGGAACGUCACUGCCAUUCAAGGACCUGGAGGAAAGUGGACGAUCCCUUCGGAGGCUAAAGUGUCCAUGGAGAACAAUAAGAUGGGCUUGAAAGGCCCUUUGAAGACCCCAAUAGCAGCCGGUCACCAAUCUAUGAAUUUACCGCUGCGCAAAACAUUUGACCUUUAUACAAAUGUCCGACCAUGUGUCUCUAUCGAAGGCUAUAAAACCCCUUACACCGAUGUAAAUAUUGUGACCAUUCGAGAGAACACAGAAGGAGAAUACAGUGGAAUUGAGCAUGUGAUCAUUGAUGGAGUUGUGCAGAGUAUCAAGCUCAUGACGGAGGGGGCGAGCAAGCCCAUUGCUGAGUUUGCCUUUGAGUAUGCCCGGAACAACCACCGGAACAACGUCACGGCGGUGCACAAAGCCAACAUCACGCGGAUGUUAGAUGGGCUUUUUCUACAAAAAUGCAGGGAAGUUGCAGAAAACUGUAAAGAUAUUCAAUUUAAUGAGAUGUACCUUGAUACAGUAUGUCUGAAUAUGGUACAAGAUCCUUCCCAAUUUGAUGUUCUUGUUAUGCCAAAUUUGUAUGGAGACAUCCUUAGUGACCUGUGUGCAGGAUUGAUUGGAGGUCUUGGUGUGACAUCGAGUGGCAACAUUGGAGCCAAUGGGGUUGCGAUUUUUGAGUCGAUUCAUGGGACGGCUCUAGACGUUGCAGGCAAGGACAUGGCGAAUCCCACAGGCCUCCUGCUCAGUUCUGUGAUGAUGUUGCGCCACAUGGGACUUUUUGAUCAUGCUGCAAGAAUUGAGGCCGCGUGUUUUGCUACGAUUAAGGAUGGAAAGAGCUUGACAAAAGAUUUGGGAGGCAAUGCAAAAUGCUCAGACUUCACAGAGGAAAUCUGUCGCCGAGUAAAAGAUUUAGAUUAAUGCUUCUACAACUGGUAUUUGCAUCAGUCACUCUAAAUGGACCCACAUAAACCUCUGCUUAGAAUACCUAGGGAUGUAUGCUUUGGUUUACUUGUUUCUUGACAAUACAUUUUUAGAUCUGGCCUUUUCUUAACAAAAUCUGUGCAAAAGAUGCAAGUGGAUGUCCCUAGGUCUGUUUUCGAAGAACUUUCUCCAAGUGCUUAUUUUAUUUAUUAAGUGUCUACCUGGUAAAUGUUUUUUUUGUAAACUCUGAGUGGACUGUAUCAUUUGCUAUUCUAAACCAUCUUACACUUAAGUUAAAAUAGUUUCUCUUCAGCUGUAAAUAUCAGGAUACAGAAUUAACAUGAGAAAAUGUCAAACUUUUUAAGAAAAACCUUGUUUUCUUUGAUUUUUGAAAAACAUAAUGGAAAUAAAACAGGAUAUUGAUGUAAUAGCACAAAAUGACACUCUUAUAAAACUAAAUGGGCACAAGAGAAAUUUCCUGGGAAAGUUCACAUCAAAAAGAGUGAAUGUGGUAUAUUUCUAAAUGAAAUGGAAAAUAGAGACAGAUUUGUCCUUCACAGAAAUUACUGAGUAUGAAAAAAAACUUCACAAUCGAGAAAUAUAUAAUGAGAGAUAUAAUUUUUGUUAAUAAGACAAAGGUAAUAUACUGGAUACAAAGACACAAAAAAUGUACUGUGCGUUCAAUUAUUUUGCGGUCUUGAGAUUUAAUAUUCUUUCCAAGAGCUUUUAAUGAAGCAGAGAGCUAGUACUUCAUUUUCAUUGGAGGCAUUUUCAGCAUCAUGAGUUGUCACAGCCUCUGAGCCCCUGAUAUUAAGCCAGAAGGGCUGAGUGUAUUGUAAACUUAUUCUUGCAUGUUGCUGUCUGGGAAUGGACCACACUACAGCUGGUAGUUCUGGGGGCGAUACUGCCCAAAGGCCUGAACACAUGUUAUUUUGGCUGCAAUUGAGGAACUCGGGAUGCUAUUAAGUUUGUAUUUCAGCAACUGCCCCUUCUCCUAUCCCAAAGCACCAAUUACUGCCCUCUGCCUCAGCAUUACCAGUAUAAGAUGACAUUCCAAAGAUUGCAGGCAACUCAGCCUGAGUUAAUUCACAAAAUUGUGCCAUGCCGGGGCUUGAGCUUGGGCUUAGGCUUGGGCUCAGCUUUAGACCCUCAGGCAUCUCCUUUCUCUUCCUGCCUUCCUCUCCCUUAUCCUCCACUGCAGCAUGAUUUUCUUAAUCUUCAUACACUCACUAUUUUCAUGAACAGUUACCCUCUGGCCCCACAACCAAAGACAACUCAUGGCCUCCCUUGGCCCUUGCAUAA